rnacentral:lncRNA from 1 species
GAUCAAGUGUUGAAAAGCAGAACAAAGGAUACGGUACAAAAUUAAGGAAAAUUUGAACUGUUUACUAAUUGUAUAGUGCCAUAUUUCAGCCAUUCUUUUAGGGUAACAACAGCCAAACAAGUAUUCAGAUUCAAAUAUUCUGCACCCUUUUAAUUAUUAAAUGAACUUAAGCUAAGUGAAGUAUUUAAUACACUAUUAGAAUAAUGUAACCAAGUUGAUCCUAACACAAAAUGAGUGAAAGGGAAAAACAAUGUAUCCAUAAGCCUAACCAUAUCGAGGGUCAACCAUAUAGAUAAACAAUGAUUUCCGAACCAUGAUUCAUUCCAUGGCUCUCAUUUCACUAAAGGAGAAGAGGGGAGAGGGGAAAUAAUAUGAACAUUUACUAAAAAAAAUCCAGAUUAUUAUGCAUCAUAAAGGGAUAAAUUUGACCACUGGGAAGGUCAGAUUCACUUCCCUAUUGUGCUGCCAUAUGAGGGAAGCUUUGGACAUUGGUUUCAAAAGUGCAUACACAUACCCAUUUAGUAACCCCAAGGUAUGAAUUUUGACAUAUAAAUAUAGCACAACCCUACAGAUUUCAUGUAUCAAGCAAUCAUUUAAUACUAGAACAUAGUCCCAUUAACUCUAAAUCCAAACAAUCAUGAUUCAUAAACCGAAUACUAGAGAUCAACUAAACAAAUAUGUUCCAAAUGCAGAUUUUAAAUGCAAAAUUUAUUUAAUACUAGAGAUCAACUAAACAAAUACGUUCCUAAUGCAGAUUUUAAAUGCAAAAUUGAUUUAAUUAUAGAUGGACAUUGUACAUACCUGGAAACUAAAAAUAUGACUGGAAAAUAACCAAAUAAAGUUCAGGAAAAACCAAAAGAGAGCUAGAGAUCUUAAACUUCAGCAUUAAACUAAACAAGACUGCAACAGCAAAACCAAAAAAGGAACCAGAGGCUCAAAUUCAAGAGACUGGGAACCAACUUGAAAUCCCACAGAUCCAGCUAAAAGGAGUAAGAGUAUUUCAGCUUCAAACCAUGUUUCAAACUUUUAAAAGAAGAGGAGAUUUCUGAUAUUUCUUUGAAUGUGAAGUUUUCAAAGAAGAAAAUGCAACUUUUCUAGAGAGAAUUACCGAUAAAAAGUGC